AGCUCCAAUAGCAUAUACUAACGUUGUUGCAGUUAAAAAGCUCGUAGUUGGAUUUCUGGUCGAUGGCGUUUAGGUGGGACCUCGUUGUUCCACCUAUCGUACAUUGGUCAAAAUUUGUCACUAAUCUUCAUGUGUCAUUGAUUUGACUCUGGGGACAAAUGACUCGUUUACUUUGAGAAAAUUAGAGUGUUCAAAGCAGGCAAUCGCCUUGAAUAUGUUAGCAUGGAAUAAUAACAUAGGACUUCGGUUCUAUUUGUUGGUUGUUCGAGAACUGGAGUAAUGAU
rnacentral:rRNA from 1 species